CGUAGGGAGCAAGCGUUAUCCGGAUUUAUUGGGUGUAAAGGGUGCGUAGACGGGACAACAAGUUAGUUGUGAAAUCCCUCGGCUUAACUGAGGAACUGCAACUAAAACUAUUGUUCUUGAGUGUUGGAGAGGAAAGUGGAAUUCCUAGUGUAGCGGUGAAAUGCGUAGAUAUUAGGAGGAACACCGGUGGCGAAGGCGACUUUCUGGACAAUAACUGACGUUGAGGCACGAAAGUGUGGGGAGCAAACAGGAUUAGAUACCCUGGUAGUCCACACCGUAAACGAUGGAUACUAGGUGUAGGAAAUGAUUUCAUUUUCUGUGCCGUCGCAAACGCAAUAAGUAUCCCACCUGGGGAGUACGGCCGCAAGGUUGAAACUCAAAGGAAUUGACGGGGGCCCGCACAAGCAGUGGAGUAUGUGGUUUAAUUCGAAGCAACGCGAAGAACCUUACCAGGGCUUGACAUAUAGAUGAAUAACUAAGAGAUUAGUUAGUCCUUCGGGACAUCUAUACAGGUGGUGCAUGGUUGUCGUCAGCUCGUGUCGUGAGAUGUUAGGUUAAGUCCUGCAACGAGCGCAACCCCUGUGAUUAGUUGCCAACAGGUUAAGCUGGGAACUCUAAUCAGACUGCCGGUGAUAAAUCGGAGGAAGGUGGGGAUGACGUCAAAUCAUCAUGCCC
rnacentral:rRNA from 1 species